UGUGGCCUACGUGGUUAGAGCGUCCUCCUCAGAUGCGGGAGGUCGCGGGUUCAAACUCCGGACGCAUCAUAAAAA